rnacentral:rRNA from 1 species
CCUACGGGUGGCUGCAGUGAGGAAUAUUGGUCAAUGGGCGUAAGCCUGAACCAGCCAAGUCGCGUGAGGGAAUAAGGUUCUAUGGAUCGUAAACCUCUUUUAUCAGGGAAUAAAGGGUGGGACGUGUCCUUUUUUGUAUGUACCUUAUGAAUAAGCAUCGGCUAACUCCGUGCCAGCAGCCGCGGUAAUACGGAGGAUGCGAGCGUUAUCCGGAUUUAUUGGGUUUAAAGGGUGCGUAGGCGGUUUGUAAAGUCAGCGGUAAAAAUUUGGGGCUCAACCCGGUAACGCCGUUGAAACUGGGGGACUUGAGAAGGAUAGAGGUAGGCGGAAUGCGUGGUGUAGCGGUGAAAUGCAUAGAUAUCGCGCAGAACCCCGAUUGCGAAGGCAGCCUGCCAGGUCCUGUCUGACGCUGAGGCACGAAAGCGUGGGGAUCAAACAGGAUUAGAUACCCGAGUAGUC